AUUGAACGCUGGCGGCAUGCUUUACACAUGCAAGUCGAACGGUAACAGGCCGCAAGGUGCUGACGAGUGGCGAACGGGUGAGUAAUGCAUCGGAACGUGCCCAGUCGUGGGGGAUAACGCAGCGAAAGCUGUGCUAAUACCGCAUACGAUCUAUGGAUGAAAGCGGGGGACCGUAAGGCCUCGCGCGAUUGGAGAGGCCGAUGUCAGAUUAGGGAGUUGGUGGGGUAAAGGCUCACCAAGCCAACGAUCUGUAGCUGGUCUGAGAGGACGACCAGCCACACUGGGACUGAGACACGGCCCAGACUCCUACGGGAGGCAGCAGUGGGGAAUUUUGGACAAUGGGCGCAAGCCUGAUCCAGCAAUGCCGCGUGUGUGAAGAAGGCCUGAGGGUUGUAAAGCACUUUAGUCGGGGAGGAUGGUAGAGCAGGUUAAGAGCUAGCUCUGCUGACGUUACCCGAAGAAUAAGCACCGGCUAACUCCGUGCCAGCCGCCGCGGUAA
rnacentral:rRNA from 1 species